rnacentral:rRNA from 1 species
AACGAACGCUGGCGGCAGGCUUAACACAUGCAAGUCGAACGCACCUUUCGGGGUGAGUGGCAGACGGGUGAGUAACGCGUGGGAAUCUACCCUUCUCUACGGGAUAGCUCCGGGAAACUGGAAUUAAUACCGUAUACGUCCUGAGGGAGAAAGAUUUAUCGGGGAAGGAUGAGCCCGCGUUGGAUUAGCUAGUUGGUGGGGUAAAGGCCUACCAAGGCGACGAUCCAUAGCUGGUCUAAGAGGAUGAUCAGCCACAUUGGGACUGAGACACGGCCCAAACUCCUACGGGAGGCAGCAGUGGGGAAUAUUGGACAAUGGGCGCAAGACUGAUCCAGCCAUGCCGCGUGAGUGAUGAAGGCCCUAGGGUUGUAAAGCUCUUUCAGUGGGGACGAUAAUGACGGUACCCACAGAAGAAGCCCCGGCUAACUUCGUG